CGACGGAACAGAGCAGCCCUCUGUUAUUUUCAAAAAAAAAAAAUUCCUUCUCUUUUAACCAAAUCUCCUCCCUCAACCCGUAAACUUCUAAGAUCCUUCAGUUAGAUCCUGAUUAAACCUAUAUUCUGCUUAAAAUUUCAAUAAUUUCUGCCAGAGGCUCCAAAAUUUGGGUAGGAGAGGAUCCAGCUUCCAGGAUAGAUACUAGGGGUCCUCCUGCGACCUAAGUCUUUUGUCCUAAGUAUUCUGUUCCUUUUGGGUGAUCCGCUCAGCAGUCCUCAUUUCCUAGUUUGUCAUUCCUUCCACAUCGUCCAAUCAGAGUUUAGAGGAGGUCGGACCAAUUCUAGGCCUUUUGUCGUUUCUUUUUUGUACUUUUGAUAGAUCAUGUAUAGAUUGUACAGCCCAGUGAAGAAUGUAUUUUGUUUAUUGUAAAUAUAUUAGGGAUUGACAGGUCCAACUAUCAGUUUUUCUCUUAUAUGUUUUAUAAUUUGGAAUUAUAGCAGGUUACAUGUUUUUAUAUGUAUAAAUAUUA